rnacentral:rRNA from 1 species
AUACGAAGGGGGCAAGCGUUGUUCGGAAUAACUGGGCGUAAAGCGCACGUAGGCGGAAUGUUAAGUUAGAGGUGAAAUCCCAGGGCUCAACCCUGGAACGGCCUUUAAUACUGGCAAUCUAGAGACCGAGAGAGGUGAGUGGAAUUCCGAGUGUAGAGGUGAAAUUCGUAGAUAUUCGGAGGAACACCAGUGGCGAAGGCGGCUCACUGGCUCGGUACUGACGCUAAGGUGCGAAAGCGUGGGGAGCAAACAGGAUUAGAUACCCUAGUAGUCC